rnacentral:rRNA from 1 species
AUGGACGCCGCCACGUUGAACCCGCGCGCGUCGGCGAGGACGCGGGUGAUGUUGACGGCGGCGGGGGGGCGGGACUCGGAGGCCGCCAGGUCGAAGCCGGAGGGCGCGAUGAGGCCGUCCACGGCCAGCACGCUCAGGUUGUACGGCACGGAGGUGACGGAGCCGAGCACGGUGGCGUUGGACCCGGGGAAGGGCGCGGGCGAGCGGACGACGCCGAGGCCCGGCCCGGCGGCCGUGACGUUGACGGCGCCGAGGUCGGCGGAGGCGCGGCCGGUGGUCUGGAACAGCGUGGUGACCAGCUUCCCGGCGGCCGGGAGGCGGCGGAGGUCGGCGGGGGAGAGGUACUCGAGGAGGACGUGGUAG